AUUGAACGCUGGCGGCAGGCCUAACACAUGCAAGUCGAACGGUAACAGGAAGAAGCUUGCUUCUUUGCUGACGAGUGGCGGACGGGUGAGUAAUGUCUGGGAAACUGCCUGAUGGAGGGGGAUAACUACUGGAAACGGUAGCUAAUACCGCAUAACGUCGCAAGACCAAAGAGGGGGACCUUCGGGCCUCUUGCCAUCGGAUGUGCCCAGAUGGGAUUAGCUAGUAGGUGGGGUAACGGCUCACCUAGGCGACGAUCCCUAGCUGGUCUGAGAGGAUGACCAGCCACACUGGAACUGAGACACGGUCCAGACUCCUACGGGAGGCAGCAGUGGGGAAUAUUGCACAAUGGGCGCAAGCCUGAUGCAGCCAUGCCGCGUGUAUGAAGAAGGCCUUCGGGUUGUAAAGUACUUUCGGCGGGGAGGAAGGGAGUAAAGUUAAUACCUUUGCGCAUUGACGUUACCCACAGAAGAAGCACCGGCUAACUCCGUG
rnacentral:rRNA from 1 species